CCUUGCCACGCCCGCACAGAAACUCAAAGGAAGUUGACGGGGCCCGCACAAGCGGUGGAGUAUGUGGUUUAAUUCGAUGCAACGCGAAGAACCUUACCUGGUCUUGACAUCCCGGAGACCCUUAGGAAACUAGGGGGUGCUUCCAUCUGGAAGAAUCUGGAGACAGGUGCUGCAUGGCUGUCGUCAGCUCGUGUCGUGAGAUGUUGGGUUAAGUCCCGCAACGAGCGCAACCCUUGCCUUUAGUUGCCAGCAGUUCGGCUGGGCACUCUAAAGGGACUGCCGGUGUUAAACCGGAGGAAGGUGGGGAUGACGUCAAGUCCUCAUGGCCUUUAUGACCAGGGCUACACACGUACUACAAUGGCCGAUACAAAGGGCAGCGACACUGCGAGGUGAAGCCAAUCCCGUAAAAUCGGUCUCAGUCCGGAUUGGAGUCUGCAACUCGACUCCAUGAAGUUGGAAUCGCUAGUAAUCGUGGAUCAGCAUGCCACGGUGAAUACGUUCCCGGGCCUU
rnacentral:rRNA from 1 species